rnacentral:misc_RNA from 1 species
UAUUGGUGGGCGUGUUUUCAAGUUCCUUAUUAUGCUAUUACUACUAAAUAAUAUCAAUAGGAGGAUAUCAAAGUGUGACAUCUUAGUGUAUCUCAUUCUGGACUUGAAAGAGACAUUUCACAUACCAGGACUAUUGUAUGUUACCAAAAAAGGAUAAAACAAUGGCAGCAGACCUAACUUCUGGUUCAGUCCCACAUUUCUACAGGGACAUUUAUGACAUUUUAUGUCCAGACCAGCAAACACAACUGGACCAAGACAUGUUCAUCAAACUUCUGAUGAAGUCUAGUCUUCCAAAGGAAACACUUACACGGAUAUGGGAACUGGUGGAUUGUCAUCAUGGUUACCUAACUCGCUCAGGGGUUUACAAAGCCUUAGCUUUAAUUGCUGUAAGUCAACAAGGAAAGCCAGUCAAUGAUGUCGUGCUCCAGAACUUUGGUUGCCAAGAACUCCCUCGGCCUUCCCUGGGAGACUUGUCUGAUUUGAAGGCUUUGAGUGUUCGACUAAGAAGAGAGAAAAACCCUACAAGACUAAGCAUGUCCUACCGAGAAGUCUGUUCUAGGGACAUAAUCAAAGUUACUCUGAUACCCAAAAAGAAGGGACUCAUCUUGAAACAUGUAGAAUAUGAAGUAUCUAGUCAGAGAUUUAAUUCUGUUGUCCAGAGAAGAUACAAUGACUUUGUAGUUCUACAUGAAAUGUUGUUACACAGAUUUCCAUACAGAAUGAUACCUCAGCUGCCUCCAAAAAAACUUGUCAAAACAGCUGAUGCUCACUUUAUUGAAGAACGACGAAAAGCUCUGAAGAGGUUCUUGACACUAGUAGUUAGACAUCCAAAUAUUUCUGAGGACCCACUUAUUCAUUUCUUUCUUACAUUCUUAGGUAGGGAUGUCCAACAUAAUCUUAAGGAACAAUUUCGUUCUGCACCUGAUGAGUUUUCUACUAAUAGGCUAGCUCAAACAGUUGAAGAGUUGGAUCCCCUUGACACACCUACACAAUCCAGACUAGCUCGUGACCUGAUGAAACACGUACACUCCAGUGUCAGUAAGCUCAGAGAUGCUGCAGACAGUAUUAAAGAACAAACACUAGAGGGUGCUGUGGACAUGCUGACAUUUGGAAGAGAGUUGAGCUGGCUUGCCGACAUGGCCAAUACUGACUCAGAGUGGAGUUCAGGUGGAAAUGAAACAUGGAAUCAUUUGAAGAAAGGUUUUAAAUCCCUUCAUCCUAUGUUUCCUCCUAUUUCUAAUGCACUAGCUGAACAUUCGAAGCAGGAAGAUGAGGAUGUUGUUGAAAAGCUGAAUUUGUUCUUGGAUCUUCUAAGUGCAUACAAAGAGUUACAUGAUCGCUAUGACAAUAGCAUUAACAAAAUGAAGAGAAAGUCAUCAAGUGACCUGUCUGCUCCACAGGAGGGAGAACAACAGGAGAGGAGGAAACAUUUUGCACUCCACUGCAUCUCUAUGGAAACACAACUUGUUCAUUGUUACAUGAAUAUAGUUGGUGAGAUGUUACACUCCUUAAUAGAACUGGAGACAAUCAAACACUAUAAGAUAUACGAACUAUGGAAGAACAUGCACCCUAUGGUAGAGAAUAUGAAUUCUGCUGAUGUUGUGGAAGAAAGAUUAGGAUCAGCAUCUCCAACUGGAAACAAGAGUCCCUACUUUCCUUCCAAAUGAAAUCUAUGACAAGGGUUAUUAUGUAAAUUUAAGGUCACAGCAAAUUAUUAACAUAUAUUAUUAAUGGGGAUGUGACUUCUCCCUCUUUCUUCAGAAUUCUGACCUUGAGAUUCUUCAAAGUUGAGGGGGUAGGUCAUUCAUCAAUUAUUUUCUUAUUAAAUUGUAUUAUAUCAAUGGUCCCCAAUAGGUAGCCCAUGAAAGCAUGACUGGUGGUCUACACUAUGAUUAUAUAUUGCACUGUUAAUCAUUAUAAUACUCAAGAGUAAACAAACCUGUCAUUUCCAAAAAGCUCAGGCCAAGUCUGUAUAGACAUCUUCUGAAGUGUGGCCCAUUGGGGACCACUACAUUGGUAAUUAAAGAGUAAUUUUUUUUAAUAGUGGAAAACAAAUUGGAUUGAAUAAUAAUGAAAGAACCAAUAUAUUCUAUUGUAUUUGCUCCUGAACCACAGUGGGGUUUCAGCAUUUUCCACUCAUAACCCUAUAAACAAUAGAAGUACUUCAUGUCAUAUCAACUUCAAAAGUGAUCCAGAUUCUAGGAAGAUGAUCUAUGCAGAACAGCACUUGGAGAGACUAGAGACAAUUACAAGAUUAACAGCUACAGAUAUGUGAAUUUUCUGGAGGGUAUUUGUGUAAAUUGGGUAACUUGCUGAGAAUUUCUUUAUUAGUUUGAUUUAGAUUUUGACAUUUAUUUUGUAAAUAUAUAACUUGCAAUAAAUUGUAAAAUUACA